rnacentral:rRNA from 1 species
UACGUAGGGGGCAAGCGUUGUCCGGAAUCAUUGGGCGUAAAGAGCGUGUAGGCGGCCCGAUAAGUCCGCUGUGAAAGUCCAGGGCUCAACCCUGGGAUGCCGGUGGAUACUGUCGGGCUCGAGUCCGGAAGAGGAGUGUGGAAUUCCUGGUGUAGCGGUGAAAUGCGCAGAUAUCAGGAGGAACACCAAUAGCGAAGGCAGCACUCUGGGACGUGACUGACGCUGAGACGCGAAAGCGUGGGGAGCAAACAGG